GGACAGUUAGCUCAGUUGGUGAAAGCGUGGUACUAAUAACGCCAAGGUUGUGGGUUCAAUCCCCAUACUAGUCCA